GGAAGGCAAGAAGAGGAUAUGAGAACUUGAUAGAGCUUCCGUCAGACGAUGAUCCAUCUCCUUCUCCUACUGGUACGGUUUUCGAUCCAUUACCUGGUCCUAACAAAGACCCCCAAGAUGGAUUCAUUUAGAUAACAUAAAUUAAUAUAUUGAGUUUGAUGUUUUUUUCAUUACAUCUGUUUAAAGUCAUUUACCUGAAGAUUUUGGUGAAUCUGCAGGAGAGUCAGCAUUAGAACCACCACCUGCAAAAAAAUGUAAUCAUACUCCAUAAGAUUCGCCAGUGUUUGGUUUGGAACAAUCUUCAUAAGUGCUUUUCUUUUGAAAAUUCUUACCGUUACAGCGACUGAUAGGAGGAGUCUGAACAUUACAAGCCCUUGGCAAAGCAAGAGCCUGUGUUUGGUUAAUGUUGAGCCCAAGCUGAGAUCUUCCACCGUUGAGG
rnacentral:lncRNA from 1 species